AAUUUCAUACCGCUUAAUCCUUUGAUGAAUGAAAAGGAGCGGGGGAACCAGUGAGGUUUGCUAUGCAGGCUUCGAGGGGUGAAUCCUGAAGAGCACACCAUAUGUGCUUAGUACAGGUAGGGCGACUCUCACGCCCGAAUCCGACAGCUAACCUCGUCAGCGUAUCUAGAGAGACUUU
rnacentral:sRNA from 2 species